rnacentral:rRNA from 1 species
UACGGAGGGUGCAAGCGUUAUCCGGAUUCACUGGGUUUAAAGGGUGUGUAGGCGGGUACAUAAGUCAGUGGUGAAAUCUCCGGGCUCAACCCGGAAACUGCCAUUGAUACUAUGUGUCUUGAAUUUUGUUGAGGAGGGCGGAAUAUGUCAUGUAGCGGUGAAAUGCUUAGAUAUGACAUAGAACACCGAUUGCGAAGGCAGCUCUCUAAGCAAACAUUGACGCUGAGGCACGAAAGCGUGGGGAUCAAACAGG